UGUAACAUAUGACAGUGUAACAGAUGACUUUGUAUCAUACUGGAUUAUGAAAGAAUUUUGUAUAUUUCUUGUUUACAGCUCUGUAACAUUUGAGUAUUUUGUAUAAUAUAACCGGUAAAUCUAUAACAAUGUCAGUGGACAUGAUUGACGUCAUAAACAGGACAGAUUUCAUCAACGCCACUUAUGAGAGCAGACAACAUUUUUAUGAUGAACUGGAGAAUUGGAAAAUCGAUGUCAAAAGUAGACCAGCCAAGGACAUUGUAGACGAAUUCUGCAUGAUAUUUAGACUUUUAAAGGCUAAGUACUGUACGACUGACAUUCAGAAUGAAGUGGUUGUUGACAUGGUUACAAACACACUUGGUCGAAUGUCUGGGGAGUGGUGCACUGUCAUGUCCGACAAUCAACUGGGACCUCUACACCAACUUUAUAUACAGUUUUAUAUGGAUACGUUAAAACUUGGAUUACGACCGACUCAUGUUAUUGUCGUGCAGGCAUUAACACAGGAG